GUAAAGGCCACGCCUCCUGUGCGGGCUCUGUGGCGAAGCUCUUCCUGUGUGUGACCCCCUCAUCUUGUUGGAUCACAGCAUCCCGGGGAGCCGGAAGCAAGCAAGACCCUCACUGAACAGGCAAGAAAUGGAGACACAGGGCAGCGAGGUGACUGCCUGUGCUGGAUUCCAAACCAGGCUCUGGCAAAAGAGGAGCCCCCACACCAUGCAUCACGCACCAAAGGCCAAGGGUAAGCGGCUCCACUUGAGAUCAUCUGUGCGGCUACGUCUUCCGUAAGAAUCCACGAACACCCCAAAUUCUGCAAGGCAUCAAGAGAUGGGGCUUCAGCAUCAGAGGAGUGGAGGGCAUUGGGGACACACACCAUGACACAAGAAUGAGGACAGAUCCCAGGGACAACUGGCCAGAUUUAACCGAAUCAAUAAAACCUGAAGACCUGCUGAC